GAAAUAAUGAUAAUAAAAAUGGACUUAUAUACAAAGAGCUCCCAAGGACUGGUAGUACAAGUCAUGAGCCACUAAGACUUAGAUUUUUAUAAAACUAAAUUGAAAUAAUUACAUCGUCUAUUUGAAAUGUAAACGAACUGUGGAUCAAAUGCAACAAGUGAUAGCCAUAAGUGGAAUGCAGGUGCAUCUUCAAUGUCAGCCCUCGCCGUACACAGCAACAUCAACACAAAUAUCUGCACGCAAGGUGCAGAAGUGUAGUAUGAGUACAAUAGGCCCCAUGUACUCAAUAAGAAUCCUAACUAGCCUCGGCGAGGUAAAAGAAGAAAGAACUGUAGAUGAUACUCACUAACACCUAUGCAGUUCAGUAUUUUCAACAAGUAUAGAACAUGUAUAUGAUCAAAUCAGGGACAAUAUCAGGUAAAACCAUUUUUAUGCUCACAAUUCUUAGCCUUAGAGUGUUCUGCUCAGCCAACAAUCCAACAUAUAAGGAAGAUAUACAAGUAAAUCGGGUAAUCAGUUAAGUGAUUAGCAAGCAAAGAUGAAAGAUUUCCGACAUCGGAUCACUCCUCAAUUCUUAUUUUACAUUUUGAAUGGUUUUUACAAAAUUUCUCAUUUUCUUCCAUUUAAUUAAAUAAUUUAAUGAUAUAAAUAAGUAUGAAAUCAUGAAAUGUAACUAGCUUUACUAGCGCUCACAUAAAUAUCAACUGCACGGAUAACUCACGCGAUAUAGUGCCAAUAUACAGAUCCGUACUGACAACUCACAUGCUCAAGGAAAAUUCACGUGCUAUAUUAUCAAUAUCUAGAUCUGCACAGACAACUCACGUGCUAUAGUAUCAAUAUCUGGAUCUGCACGGACAACUCACGUGCUAUAGUAUCAAUCCGCCCGGCGUGGUCACAGGUAUAAAAGUCCAAAUCAUAUUGCACAGAAGCAAGUAUACAAGAACACAUGUAUAUGAUAGAUAAAAUAUCAGAUUUCAUGCUCCUGGACUGGUAUAAUUACAUGCUAAAAGUGUAGGCAUGUGCAAUGUGCGCUAUCGUAGCUCAAAUCGACAAUUUAUCAUAGAACUUGCAAUUACCAAGUUUUAUUCAGGGAAUUACCCUCUUCGUAAUCUCAAACAUAUCUCAAAUAGUUCACAACAAUUCAACAAUUACCUAAAUAUGCACUCUCCCGAGUUAUGCACACUAAAUAGGCACAGCUAAUUGAGGAUCCUAUCAAUUAAUUACAACAAGAACGUAGUUGAACAAAUAGAGAUUAAACCAGGCAACUAUAUUAACAUAACAAGAAGUUCAUCCUUCAAUAGGUUCCAUCAAAACCUUAGACUAAAUAUUUAGCUACUCAUACUAGGAUUCAUCACAACAACAUUCAAAUUCAUCAUAAAUCGUAAAAACAAAAGGAAGAAAGGAAGAACUCGAUGUUGAAUUAUCCUCCUUGCCUCUUGCCUCUCCUUGCCUUGAACUAAGCUAUGAAAACCUUGAUAAUCCUCUCUUGGGCGAGCUAGACCUUCUAUAUGUUAAGUGGAUUUGCCCCCGAACUUAUUUUACCCCUGCAAUUUACUCUUCCGGAACUGGGCUAGCGCGGUCGCGCUAAUGGACGCACUAGUCCAGGUCUUCAUUUCAUCUCUUCUUUUUCUCGUCUUCCCACGUACUCGGCUCCUAGGGGCUUUUCUUGCUUCAAUUUAGAUGCAAUCAUAACUUUAAGGCCUCAUACGUGCUACUCACUCCUACAACGUGUGAAAUUCACAAUUAGAGCCAAUUUAUCAUCAUUUAACUAUAUUAUCACAAUGAAACAUAAUCAAGCUGAGGCAUAAACAAUCGCCAAAUUACAUAAAUCUAGCCUAUUAUCAGACACAUUGUGCAUUCAGUGGGCUCCAUUUAUUCCGAAAUUAUUUUUUCAGACAUUAUUUCGACAUUUUGUUGCUGCUAAC
rnacentral:lncRNA from 1 species